AUUGAACGCUGGCGGCAGGCCUAACACAUGCAAGUCGAACGGUAACAGGAAGCAGCUUGCUGCUUCGCUGACGAGUGGCGGACGGGUGAGUAAUGUCUGGGAAACUGCCUGAUGGAGGGGGAUAACUACUGGAAACGGUAGCUAAUACCGCAUAACGUCGCAAGACCAAAGAGGGGGACCUUAGGGCCUCUUGCCAUCGGAUGUGCCCAGAUGGGAUUAGCUAGUAGGUGGGGUAACGGCUCACCUAGGCGACGAUCCCUAGCUGGUCUGAGAGGAUGACCAGCCACACUGGAACUGAGACACGGUCCAGACUCCUACGGGAGGCAGCAGUGGGGAAUAUUGCACAAUGGGCGCAAGCCUGAUGCAGCCAUGCCGCGUGUAUGAAGAAGGCCUUCGGGUUGUAAAGUACCUUCAGCGGGGAGGAAGGGAGUAAAGUUAAUACCUUUGCUCAUUGACGUUACCCGCAGAAGAAGCACCGGCUAACUCCGUG
rnacentral:rRNA from 1 species